UUUCUACUCCCUCCGUCCAAAAAUACUUGUCAUCAAAAUGGAUAAAAAGAGAUGUAUCUAAAACUAAAAUACGUCUAGAUACAUUUCCUUUUAUCCAUUUUGAUGACAAGUAUUUCCAGACGGAGGGAGUAUUUG
rfam:Triticum urartu cultivar G1812 contig374504, whole genome shotgun sequence.